rnacentral:rRNA from 1 species
UACGGAGGGAGCUAGCGUUGUUCGGAAUUACUGGGCGUAAAGCGCACGUAGGCGGCUUUUUAAGUCAGGGGUGAAAUCCCGGGGCUCAACCCCGGAACUGCCCUUGAAACUGGAGAGCUAGAAUCUUGGAGAGGCGAGUGGAAUUCCGAGUGUAGAGGUGGAAUUCGUAGAUAUUCGGAAGAACACCAGUGGCGAAGGCGACUCGCUGGACAAGUAUUGACGCUGAGGUGCGAAAGCGUGGGGAGCAAACAGG